UUUUUUUUUUUUUUUUUUUUUUUUUUACUCUCUCUGUCUCUAAUCCUAGAUGGCUUGUUUUAAGGAGAGUAUUCAAAAUACUACUCCGUUCAACGCAUGCCAUGGUACAGGCAAUAGCUGUUAAUUCUUAGAGGCAUCUACUGACCUUGGCUGGCUUCAUCUGGCCCUGGGUCCUGAGGGACUGGAAAUUUGAUGACCAGUGAGGCCACUUUCUUGUGCUAUGCCCAAGGGCAUACAACCUCAACCUAGAAGUUCAAUGCCUAGGAUCUUCUCUAGAAGGUCAGAACCUUUCAGUGAAUUUCCCUCUGCCCAUUUGGGAGUGAGGAAGUCUGAACCAGGACAUGCUGCAUCCUCACCCUUCAUUUCCUUCUCUCAAGACCCUUCCCCUGAAGGCUAACACCAUGGGACAGGUCCAGGUUUUAAGGAAAAGAACACAGUUAGGCAUAAAAAUUAGAUGUGAACAAGGGGGAGGAGGGAGGCAGUAGGAUGGGCAGGGAGUUUGGGGUUGGUAGAUGCAAACUCUUACAUUUAGACUGGAGAAACAAUGAGCUCCUCCUCUAUAGCACAGGGAACUAUAUCCAAUCUCUUGGGAUAGACCAUGUGAAGGAAGAUAAUAUGAGAAAAGGAAUGUGUAUAUAUAUGUAUAACUGGGUCACUUUAAAAAUAAUAUUAACUGCUUAGCAUCCCCUAUAAUAUUUUCCCUCUAUAUCCGUGGGUGCAACCUUUUGAGCACAUGUUCACGUGUGAAAGAUUUUAGAAUAUCAUUUUGUAAGAGAUGACAGAAGGAUGGUGCUACGGAUUGGAUGCUUGUGUCUCCCCCACCUCAGUUUAAAGGUUCAAGCUUAAUCAUCAUUGUCUUGGUGUUUGGAGGCAGGGCCUUUGAGAGGUGAUUAGGUCAUAAGGGCAGAGAUACCAACAUGGAAGGAAGACCCUCCACUAGCAAAAAGAUGACAACUCACCAAAGGCUCAGAUGGUAGUUAGCAUUUUUCAGCAAUAAGGUAGUUUUUACUUAGGUACGUACAUUGUUUAUUUUAGACAUAAUGCUCCCUCACACUUAAUAGGCUCAGUAUAGUGUAAACAUAACUUUUAUAUGCACUGGGAAACCAAAAAGAUUCACGUGCCUCCCUUAAUUUUUUUUUUUUUUUUUUUUUUGUCUUUUUGGGGCCGCACCCUUGGUAUAUGGAAGUUCCCAGGCUAGGAGUCAAAUCAGAGCUGCAGCUCCCUGUCGAGCCUACACCACAGCUCAUUGCCACGCUGGAUCCUUAACUCACUGAGCAAGGCCAAGGAUCAAGCCUGUGUCCUCAUGGAUACUAGGCGGGUUCGUUACUACUGAGCCAUGAUGGGAACUCCUUUUUUUUUUUUUUUUUUUUUUUGGUGAGUCGAUUUGGAUAUUUGUUUUAUUGCAAUGGUCUGGAACACAACCCGCAGUAUCUUUGGGGUUGGUCUGACAGGUGUCCAUGCAGGUGAGAAGCCUUGAUGCUUACAAUUGAUUUGAUUCGUAGCAAAUACUCCCCUGCCCUUCCCUCUUAAUGAGGAACACUUUCUCAGGUUGGAAACCUUUGUCAUCACCUCUUUAACACGGGAAGAAUUUCUUCCUUCCCUUCUCCUCCAGCUCGCCUUACCUCUGCUCCUCAACCCUGGCAGUGAGCUUCCUCCCUCCUCUCUACUGAUACCCCCUCUGCUAAGGCCAGCAGAAAUCCCAGCAACGCCUCCACGCCUAUUCAAUGGGCCUCCCCACAGUAUUUUCAAGUUGCUGCAUUUUCCCUCCUAGAAACAGCUCCUUUUGCUUCUGCGACAUGACCCCUGCCCCUCACUGUACUCUGAUUUCCUCUCCUACCCGCCUAUUGUUUCUGUCUUUCUAAAUUGGCAUUCCUCAAGGUUCCAUCCUUUUAGUCUGCACACAGCCUGGAGCGAUGGCAUCUACUCCCAUGCCAGUGGCUGAUACCCCUGUGCUCUGACUCCCAGGUCCAGAUCUUCAGCCCAGACCUUUGUAACUACCCACUAGACUAUGGACUCGAGGCAGGGACCAUGUAUUACUCAUAUUUGCAUCCUUAGUACUUAGCAGCAGGUGCUUAAUAAAUGUCUGAAUGAGUGAAUAAAUUAGUGAGUGCUUGCCAGUGAGACUGAGGUUAUACAUUAUUAAGCUGGAAUGCUCAACCAUGUAUGAAGAACUUUAUACAGAGUGGAAAAUACAGUGGUUCCUGCCAGAGUGACUUUGUCAUCCCAUUUAACUAUCCAUCAGAGAAGGGAAGUCUUAAAUGUGAGAAAAAUGAAACAAAACAAGAAACCCAACAGAUCAACUCCAUUUCACAUGGAGAUCAGAAUACAUACUGCAUGUUUUCAUGAGAAACCCUUUGGAACCCUCUGCUGUUCUUCCAUUCUGGGUGGUUCUGAAAAAAUAUACUUUAGCAGUUGGGUUCACCUGGCAAAGAAAUGUAGAAUUUCUUUAAACAUUUUUUCCUGUUCCUUCAGUUGUAAUUGAUGACAGCUUCAAAAUUUCUUAGACUGACAUAUAUAAAGUUGGAUGACAUCUCUUUGUUGUGCCACUAAUAAGCUCUUUCAUCUGUUUUGAACAUAUUUUCCCCUUGAAGUCUGAAUACAUGCCUGGGCUCUGUCUAAACACAAAUUGUUUGAACAAAGAGGAAAAAGAUCUGAUUUGAGAAAUUAUUGCGGAUUUCCUGCUGUGGUGCAAUGGGAUCGGCAGUGUCUUGGGAGCUCUGGGUUGCAGGAUUGAUCCCCGGCCUGGCACAGUGGGUUAAAGAUCUGGCAUUGCCGCAGCUGUGGCUUGGAUGCACUGCAGCUUGGGUCUGAUCCCUGGCUCAGGAAUUCCAUAUGCCAUGAGGUGGCCAAAAAUGAAAAACUAACAAAAGAUACUCUCAGAGUUAAUAAAUCCAUCUAUGUGCUGUUUUAUACCUUUUAUCUAGAAAUAGAUAAAAGGUAUAAAAGUGGAUAAGAAAAUAUAUAUUAAAAAAGAAGAAAUCAUUUUCCCUGAAUGGCACUAAAAUCUAGUUUGAAUUCUUUCACUCUUUUCCCUCCAAACAAUUGUUUAGUACAAUAAAAAAAUUUUGUAACUUAAUUGAAUUAACACAGUAUCAUCUAGAUGAUAACAUUCUCUUAGGCUGUAUAGUAAAUCAGAAUUCUAUUCUGCUGCUAAUAUCUUGAGCUUUAUCAGAGUCACUAUUAGAAGACUGAGUUCAUUUAGACUUUGGGGCUCUGUUCUUAGGGUGUGGUCCCCAGCCAGUAGCAGCAGUACCUGGGAGCUUGUUAGGAAUGCAGAUUCUAGGCCCUUGCCCCAGACCAACUUGAUCAGAAACUCUGGGGUCCUGGCUGAGCCAUCUGGAUUUUUAAAUAAGCCCCCUGAUGAUUGCAAAACACACUCAGGUUUGGUACCUGAUUUAGAGGGAGUUCGAACACCACUGUGCAUGUGAAGAUGUUCUAUUAAGAAUGUCAUUACUGACGUUUUUCUUUAAAAAUAAUGUAUUUUAGUAGUUCCCAUCAUGGCUCAGUGGUUAAUGAGCCCAGACUGGUACCCAUGAGGAUGUGGGACCCAUCCUUGGCCUCACUCAGUGGGUUAAGGAUCUGGCAUUGUUGUAAGCUGUGGUGUAGGUCACAGAUGUGGCUCAGAUCCUGUGUUGUUGUGGCUGUGGUGUAGGCCGGCAGCUGUAGCUCUGAUUCGACCCCUAGCCUGGGAACCUCCAUAUGCUGCUGGUGCAGCCCUAAAAAGACAAAAAGACAAAUUAAUGUAUUUUAGGUAAUACUACAUAGAUGCUGUAUUUUCUGAAGCAAACUAAUUUAUCUGGCUGUUUCUUUCAUUGUUGAGUGUCUGGGAGACAGGUGACAUCAUCUGCCAUGAUUGGGUGCUAAGUAGGAUACAUUUUAACAGUGGGUAUAGAGGAAAUGGGUGCUAAGUAGGAUACAUUUUAGCAGUGGGUAUAGAGGAAAUAUUCUCAGGUCUCAGUAUUGUCUUCAGUAUGGUUGAUUAUCAGAGGACCUGAUAGGUUGAAUGCUUGCUAAAAUUACACAGGUCAUUAUUAAAUUUUCAUAUCAUUUGUAUAUAAUAUUAUUUUCAUUCAAUUGGCAUUGCAGAACCAAGAAAUCAGAUUUGGGGUUGUCAUUUUAUUUUAUCAUUUGCCAUUAACUGAGCUGAACUUAUUUUUAAGUUUCCUUUUUUUCCCCCUAAGCUUUUCCUUCUGCGUUCAUGGUUGGGGUGUUAAUAGCAUGUCAAACUAAUUGCAUUCCUCAUGGUCUAAUUCUAUUCACUGUCAUUUUUGGCAGUAAAACUCUGAGUUUGGCAUGUUCUCACACUGACACAGGCUUGCUAAAUUAGCUGAGCAGAAUCUCAGAAUGCUAGAAUAAAUCCAGGCAGAAUAAAUCCAAAAAUAUCCUCAAGGAUUAUACAGGACAUUUAAGAAUUCUGGUCAGCCCAUGUGCCCACUCCAGGGAAAGCUUGUUCUGAUGACCUCAACCUUGCCACUCCGCUUUUAUUGAUGAUGGUGUUUGCUUUCAGUGUGUGUAUUAAUGCGCUAGUGAAGGACUUCUUGGGCUAUGUAUGACAUGGCAGAAACCCAACUCAAACUGAUUUCAGCAAAGACAGACUCUAUUACUUCUCCUAAAUUAAAAAGACCAGGAAGCAUCUGGCUUCAGGCGUGGCUGGCUCCAGGGGUUCCAAUGGCAUUGUGUUAGGCAGUCUCUAAAAUGAUUCCCCGAGAUUCUUGCCUCCUGGUAUUCUUGCCCUAAUUCCCUCCUCUUGAGUGUAAGUUGGAAGUGAGAAAUGUGAAUCCUAGAGCUUAUUCUUUUAAGUUUUGCCACACAGGGAUUUGUUAUCAGUACCUGAUAUGGUUACAAUGGGGUUGUAAAGAGUCCUUCAUUUGAUGUUUUUUCCAAUAGACAAAAUCCACAGAUUGUAACCCAUGGUUCUUAAGGUCUAGGAAUCAGUUACAUUUUUUCAUUUUCUUUAAGGGCUUUGAUGAGUCUUGACAAGAGUGUAGAAUACCGCCUUCAAGAACUGCUGGUUCGUAUGUACCUUGAUCUAGAUGCCUAGGUUGCCCAGCACUUACUUCAGAAGGAGACAGUUGAUGUUACCAAAGAGGGCAGACCUAAGGUUGAGGAGUACCACGGGAAGAGCUUUUGGCCAUGGAAGAUUAAAAGCCUCUGAAAAUUUAGCCAGCUGUGUUUUAAUUGUGUUGUUUGUUCUAUUAAUCCUGACGAUUGAGGGUGAUAGGCACAGGGAAAAUUCUGCAUUAUUGGCCAAAUCUUACAAAUGGAUUUAAUAACCUGUCAAUAAAAUGAAUUUCCCUGUCACUAUGCAACUCAGAAGGAAUUCCUCAAACUGGAAUUAUUCUUGCCAAAAGUAAUUUGCCUGAUGUUAAGACUGUUGCUCUUUUACAAGGAAAUGCUUCCACCCAGUGUGAAACCUGCAUGCCAUUACCAGGAUGUAUUUAUAGCCUUGAGAGGAAGGCACCAGGAUAAGGUCUAGUUGCCAUACUUUAAAGGGUCCCUUAGAGAGGGGAAAGUGGACUUGAGAGCCACAAAGGGGUUUACCAGGAUUAUAUUUAGGACAUAUAAAACAUUGGUCAUAAAUCUUUGAGCUAUAGUGAGAAAAGAGAAGGUUGUUUUCCCCAUAAUAUAUCUUUUUUUUUUUUUUUUUUUUUGGUUCAGGUGCCCAGUGGAUCAGGGAAUGUCCACUGUUGGAGUAACAGUAAUUGAGCACUUCUAGGUACCAUAAGCCUCUUACUUGAUUCAAACCAUAUUUAUGAGUUGGGGUCAAAAAAAUCUCCCUUUUUUCUUACAGGCCUACUUUUUAUUUUCUCAAGCCUGCAAAAGAAAUUUCUUAGCAGCUUCAUCAGAGUUAUGUUUGAGCAGAGUACAUUCUCAAAAUUGGGAGGGAACAAGAUUUAGGGCAGCUUGUUUAGCUUCAGCAUCAGCCAAUCAAUUCCCUUUGGCUUCUAUUGAAUCAGAUUUGGAAUGUCCAGGUUCCCCCCCCCCCACUUUGGUAUUGUUUAGGGCUGCACACUCAGCAUAUGGAAGUUCCCAGGUUAGGGGUUGAAUUGGAGCUGCAGCUGCCAGCCCAUACCACAGCCACGCCAGAUCUGAGCCAUGCCUGCAACCUACACCACAGCUUCAUGGCAACACCAGAUCCUUAACCCACUGAAUGAGAAUUUCCAGGUAUUUUAAUGUUUGGGCAGUUGAAUGGAGUCUAGUAGUUUUGAGACUAGCUGUCCAUUCUUUAUAGGCUAGUUAAAAGAUGUGAGAAAUCUUUUCUGUUCCCAUAGCAUUCCAAAAUCAUGAGCUACUCUGAAGGCAUAGUGGCUCUUAUUAUAAAUAUUGGGUAUUUGAUCUUUGGCUAAUUGACAAGCUCUAAUUAGUGCAUCAAUUCAGCUUGUUGGCUUAAUUUGGUGUCUGGUAAAUAAUCACUUUCGGUUAUUUCUGCCACUGAAGUUGGUGCAUACCCAGAUCGAUUUUUUAUCCUUUAAAUAGGAUCCAGUGUUAUCAAUGAGAGCUUCUUGUAAAUCAGUACCAGGAGUGAGAAGAUAGCAUGAUACAGUCAAGGUUUCUGUCAUUUGAGGUGCUGGAAGCAAAGUUGUUGGGUUAAGCUGUUAUGCUGAGACAAAGUAGUAUUGGGGGAAGAGAUAAAAGUGCUUUGUAAGGGGCCAGGCAACUCACUGAAUAGUGUUGAGGAUGUUGAGAAUUUGAGAGAAAUUCAACUAAAUGAGGACCAUAGUCAGAGGAGACCUCAUUAUAGGUUCUUCAGUAGCUUUGCAUAAGAGAGCUGUCACUGAAAUAGCCCUUAUGCAAGGUGGGAACCCUUUUGCCGCUGAAUCUAAGUGUUGACUAUAAUAUUCUCUGGGUUGGUGUGGUCACCAUGCCUCUUAGUUGAUACACUCAGGGAGUUUCCUCUUUCUUCAUACACAAAGAGGAAAAAUGGUAAUUUAUAGUUAAGAUCACCUAAUGCUGAAGCCUGUGCUGAUACACAUUUUAAAGCAUUUAUAUCCUUUUUCUCUUUCUGUUGUCCAUUGAAUUGAGUAUGGCUGGUCAGACUUCAGUAAUGCAUAGAGAGGUUGGGCAAUGAGGGAAAAUCUAGGUACCCAACAUCCUGCAAUAUCUGGUUAGAUCUUGAAAUUCUCUCUGUUGUUGCUGUGUUUUGGGGAGUGAGAAAGCUAGAAUUCCCUUAAUUCUUUCAAGAUCAAUCAGUAAUUCUUCCUGAGCUAUAAAGUGACCUACAUGUUUUAAGCUUAAUUGUAUUUUGUCUUCGAUACCUUACGCCUCUUAGAAGCUAAUUGUUGCGAUAGAUGAGUUGUGUCUCUUUGGCAAUCUCUUCACUUCUAGAACACAAGUCAGCUGCAUAUUGAAUUAAAGCAAAGCUGUUAGGAAAGUGUACAUCAGCCAAAUCAGUUUCAAGCAUUUGAGAAAAACAAGGCUUUUAUAUAGGCUUGUGGCCUAACCGCCCAGGUACAUGGAUGAUUUUCUCAUGUGACGGUAAAGAGGCUUUCUUUUUCUCCUGGAAUGCCAAGGAAUGGAAUGCACUACACACAUCAGUUACUAAGAAAUAAUGGUGGCUGCUGGGAAGACUGAGAGCAGAGUGUGAGAAUUCCUAAGAACCACAGGGUGGCAGGGAAUCACAGUAUUAUCUAUAGCUCUCAGGUUCAGCCUUUUCUGUUUGGCUUCUUACCAAUAAACUGAAAGUAUUGCAAGGAUUGGUGUAAGGAAUUAUAAGUCUUUUCUGAAGGAAAUCCUGGGUAAUAGGUCUUAUUCCAUUUAUUGCUUCUGGUCUGAGUGGGUAUUAUCAGAUAUUAGAUGGAGGCUUGGGAUUAUCUUAUUAGAAGUAUAGCCAUUUUAAUUUUCCCAAUAUCUGAGGAAGAAAAUGGCCACAAUUCCUCAGGCACUUGUAAUAGUAAAUCAUUGAUUUCCUUUUGAUUUGUCUGAAUUUUUGUCUUUAUAUCCAUUAUUUUUUCAGUAAUUAUGUUCUGGUCUUCAUUUAUAUCUUCUAAAUCUAAAGUCAUCUAACCUUUAGAUGAAAAGUUAAUAUGGGCAUUAUAUGCCUCUAAAAGGUCCUGUCAGGUGAAUUGUCACCAAAAGGAAUACAUGCCUUCUGUGAUAGUUCCUAGCUGAAAAGUUACUGGCUUUGAUUUAAAAACCUGCAUAGCAUAUUUGUCUUUCUCAGACUUACUUCACUUAGUAUGAUAAUCUCUAGAUUGAUCCAUGUUGCUGCAAAUGACAAUAUUUCAUUCUUUUUAUGGCUGAGUAAUACUCCAUUGUGUAUGUGCAUGUGUGUGUGUGUGUGUGUGUGUGUAUAAAACGUCUUAUUUAUCCAUUCAUUUGUUGAUGGACAUUUAGGAGAUGUAGAGAGAGAGAGAAAUACCAUAUGAUAUCAUUUAUAUGUGGAAUCUUAAAAAAAUGAUACGAAUGAUCUUAUUUGCAAAACAGGAAUAGACUCGCAGAUAUAGAAGACAAAUUUAUGGUUCCCAAAGAGGAAAGGAGGUGGGAGGGAUAAAUUAGGAAUUUGGGAUUAACAGUUACACACUAUUAUAUGUAAGAUAGAUAAACAACAAGGGCCUACUUUACAGCACAGGGAACUAUACUCAAUAUUUUGUAAUAGCUUAUAAUGGAAAA
rnacentral:lncRNA from 1 species